AUUCUGUCACUACUGUAUUUGUACUUGUGCAAUCAAGCCGUCACGCUCACCACAUGUAAUUACUGCUGUCAGCUUUAGAGACCAAGUUUCGGAUAUCGAAAACAACAAGGUCGUUGCGGGUCUUAAGUUUGUGAAGAAAGAUGGAAUGAUUCACAUUCAAAUCGCAGAACGUGAAGUUCUACCUCACGGUCAACUUGGAUAUGAUGUGUGGAAGCCAUUGGAAGAAUUUACUUACAAUGAAACAACUAAAACAUUCUACGUCUUAAAAAAUAAUGAGUCCCAAAUUCCACUUGAGUUCGGAGUUGAUUAUGCUCGUCCGGAUACAAUGAACUUAAACGAUGUGAUGGCACCAGAAAAGCAUGUCAUCAUAGGAGUCCGAUGGCGAUUCGCCGGAGAUUCUCUCGAAUUUCCCAACCGAAAGCAAGGUCCAAUUGAAUUACAAGUUCGAGUAACAUCUCUUGAUUUCCCGAGAGGAAAAUUAAUUAAUCUCGGUCAAUCAUCAUGAAUUACUCCUAAAGAACAAGUUCUCAAAGAUGAAUUGAUAUUAGAAAAUCCAGAUAAUCCGGGAUAUGCGAGUCACAGCACUGGAUGGAUAUUUGGAGAUCGAAAAGAUCCUCAGUACGGACAAUUAAAAAUUCAUACGACUAUAACGUCAAAUAAAUUUGUUAAAUUCCGAGCAUCUGAUUUGAAGAAAGAUGCUGGACAGUCAACUGUGCCAUUUUUCGAUGGUUAUGAAACUGUAAUGUAUAAAAGUCUUUUGGGUGGAGUCGGUCUUGUUCAUCGCGGUCUUCUCGGUUCUGGUGG